GAUGAACGCUGGCGGUAUGCUUAACACAUGCAAGUCGAACGGUGUCUUCGGACACAGUGGCGGACGGGUGAGUAACGCGUGAGAAUCUAGCUUCAGGUCGGGGACAACCACUGGAAACGGUGGCUAAUACCGGAUGUGCCGAGAGGUGAAAGGCUUGCUGCCUGAAGAUGAGCUCGCGUCUGAUUAGCUAGUUGGUGGGGUAAGAGCCUACCAAGGCGACGAUCAGUAGCUGGUCUGAGAGGAUGAUCAGCCACACUGGGACUGAGACACGGCCCAGACUCCUGCGGGAGGCAGCAGUGGGGAAUUUUCCGCAAUGGGCGAAAGCCUGACGGAGCAAUACCGCGUGAGGGAGGAAGGCUCUUGGGUUGUAAACCUCUUUUCUCAGGGAAGAAUUCAAUGACGGUACCUGAGGAAUAAGCAUCGGCUAACUCCGUGCCAGCCGCCGCGGUAACAC
rnacentral:rRNA from 1 species